UAUAAAUGUGAAUUUAUAAUCUUAGUAUUAAUAGUUAAGAUCUUUAAAUUAAAAGAAUUUGGCGGUAAUUUAGUCUGUUCAGAGGAAUCUGCCCUGUAAUUGAUGAUCCACGAUUAAUUUUACUUUAUUUAAGCUUGUAUAUCUCUGUCAUUGAAUGUCUUAUUAGGGUAUUUUCAUUAAUUAUUAUAGUAGAAAAUGUCAGGUCAAGGUGCAGCCAUAAUAAAGAAGAGGUGGAUUACAUUAAAUGUAUUUAUGGAGAAGUAUGAUGGAAUAUUGCUUUGAAAUUGGAUUUGAGAGUAAACUUUAUUAAAAUGUGGAGUUGAUUUAGCUCUAAAUUAUGC
rnacentral:rRNA from 1 species